rnacentral:tRNA from 1 species
CAGUUAUGUGGUUUAAGUUAAAAUACUAGUUUUGGGGAUUAGAGAUCUCCCGUGGGAGCUAACUGG